rnacentral:rRNA from 1 species
AGAGUUUGAUCCUGGCUCAGGAUGAACGCUGGCGGCGUGCCUAAUACAUGCAAGUCGAACGGAGAUUGUAGCAAUACGGUCUUAGUGGCGAACGGGUGAGUAACGCGUUGGCAACCUGCCCCGAAGAGUGGGAUAAUGGUCCGAAAGGACCACUAAUACCGCAUGUGAUCCUAAGGAAUAGCAGCUUAGGAUGAAAGGAGCAAUUCGCUUCGGGAGGGACCUGCGUCCCAUCAGCUAGUUGGUAGGGUAACGGCCUACCAAGGCGAUGACGGGUAGGGGACCUGAGAGGGUGGCCCCCCACAAUGGAACUGAAACACGGUCCAUACACCUACGGGUGGCAGCAGUGAGGAAUAUUGCACAAUGGGCGCAAGCCUGAUGCAGCAACGCCGCGUGCGCGAUGAAGGCCUUCGGGUUGUAAAGCGCUUUUCGGGGAGAUGAGGAAGGACAGUAUCCCCGGAAUAAGGCUCGGCUAACUACGUGCCAGCAGCCGCGGUAACACGUAGGAGCCAAGCGUUAUCCGAAUUCACUGGGCGUAAAGCGCGUGCAGGCGGCUCGGUAAGUUGGAUGUGAAAGCUCCUGGCUCAACUGGGAGAGGACGUUCAAUACUGUCGGGCUAGAGGACGGUAGAGGGAGGUGGAAUUCCCGGUGUAGUGGUGAAAUGCGUAGAUAUCGGGAGGAACACCAGUGGCGAAAGCGGCCUCCUGGGCCGUACCUGACGCUCAGACGCGAAAGCUAGGGGAGCGAACGGGAUUAGAAACCCCGGUAGUCCUAGCUGUAAACGAUGUAGACUUGGUGUCGGUGGGUUAAAAGCCAACGGUGCCGAAGCCAACGCGAUAAGUCUACCGCCUGGGGACUACGGCCGCAAGGUUAAAACUCAAAGGAAUUGACGG